rnacentral:rRNA from 1 species
CCUACGGGUGGCAGCAGUGGGGAAUAUUGCGCAAUGGGCGAAAGCCUGACGCAGCGACGCCGCGUGAGGGAUGAAGGUCUUCGGAUCGUAAACCUCUGUCAGCAGGGAAGAACGGUCACUGUGCUAAUCAGCAGUGACUUGACGGUACCUGCAAAGGAAGCACCGGCUAACUCCGUGCCAGCAGCCGCGGCAAUACGGAGGGUGCGAGCGUUAAUCGGAAUUACUGGGCGUAAAGCGCUCGUAGGCGGUAGGUCAAGUCAAGGGUGAAAUCCCCGCGCUCAACGUGGGAACUGCCUUUGAAACUGGCAAACUGGAGAGUGUGAGAGGAUAGUGGAAUGCCAGGUGUAGGGGUGAAAUCCGUAGAUAUCUGAAGGAACAUCAGUGGCGAAGGCGACUAUCUGGCACAUAACUGACGCUGAGGAGCGAAAGCGUGGGUAGCAAACAGGAUUAGAUACCCCGGUAGUC